rnacentral:rRNA from 1 species
GUCCACGCCCUAAACGAUGUCUACUAGUUGUCGGGUUUUAAUUAACUUGGUAACGCAGCUAACGCGUGAAGUAGACCGCCUGGGGAGUACGGUCGCAAGAUUAAAACUCAAAGGAAUUGACGGGGACCCGCACAAGCGGUGGAUGAUGUGGAUUAAUUCGAUGCAACGCGAAAACCUUACCUACCCUUGACAUGGAUGGAAUCCCGGAGAGAUUUGGGAGUGCCCGAAAGGGAACCAUCACACAGGUGCUGCAUGGCUGUCGU